rnacentral:rRNA from 1 species
AUGCCGGAGCCCAUCACAACAAUUGAUCUUGGCCUGCUGUCUGCAUCCAACGAUCCUGAGGAAGCCGCCAAGCUGCUGUCAGCGCUGAAGACCUGGGGAUUCUUCCAGGUUUCUAACCAUGGAAUGGAGACCACUAUGAUGGAUUCUGUGAUGACCCCAUCAAGGGAAUUUUUUCACCUACCGCUCGAAGAGAAGAAGAAAUGCAGUAACCUGAUAGAUGGCAAGCAUUUCCAGGUAGAAGGGUAUGGCAAUGACCAGGUGUGGGCUCAAGAUCAGAGAUUGGACUGGUCUGAUCGACUGCACCUUAGGGUUGAGCCGGAGGGUGGGAGAAACCUUGCCCACUGCCCUACACAUCCCAAAUCGUUCAGGUAA